rnacentral:rRNA from 1 species
CCUACGGGGGACAGCAGUGGGGAAUAUUGCACAAUGGGGGAAACCCUGAUGCAGCGACGCCGCGUGAGUGAAGAAGUAUUUCGGUACGUAAAGCUCUAUCAGCAGGGAAGAAAAUGACGGUACCUGACCAAGAAGCCCCGGCUAACUACGUGCCAGCAGCCGCGGUAAUACGUAGGGGGCAAGCGUUAUCCGGAUUUACUGGGUGUAAAGGGAGGGUAGACGGCAGCGCAAGUCUGGAGUGAAAUGCCGGGGCCCCGCCCCGGAGCUGCUGUGGGAACUGUGCAGCUGGAGUGCAGGAGCGGUAAGCGGAAGUCCUAGUGUAGCGGUGAGAUGCGUAGAGAUUAGGAGGAACACCAGUGGCGAAGGCGGCUUACGGGACUGUAACUGACGUUGAGGCUCGAAAGCGUGGGGAGCAAACAGGAUGAGAUACCCCAGUAGUC